CUUACGCAACGACCAGUUCCUGCUCCGAAGUCUUCAAGUACUACACCACCAAAGCACCGGAGUUUUAUACCACAACUUACGCUACCCCGAGCCACUACACUGAUGCCCUGAAGUAUUACUCUGCCCUUAGUUACUACACAAUCUAGGCGACGGAGUACUACAUGGCUACCUAUACUGCCUAUCCUACUACACCGAGGCUUCUAACUGUUACACCGAGGCUUCCGCUGAUUACUACACCGAAGCGGCAAAGUACUAAUCUACCCCGAUCUACACAACCACAACUGAGGUGGCCAAGUAUUACGCAGUCCCGACUUGGUACACAAAAGCUGCUCUUUCAUGCUACGUUGAACAGAAAUACUACACUGAUGCUCCAAUCUACUACACCACGACCUACGCUACACCUAGCUACAACACCGCAGCCCCAAGUACUACACCGAAGAAGCCGCCUAUUACACAACUACGUACGCUGCCUAGUUUACUACAUCGACGAAUUUAAGUAUUGCUCUGCUCCAAACUACUACCAAACUUAGGUUCAUAUUUAUUGCAAUUUCCACGACUAUGUCACCACUGCUCCGACCUAUACACCUGUAUGUGUUGAAAGAUUGCUGAAAUACAAGAUUGAUUGAUAAA